rnacentral:lncRNA from 1 species
UAAAACAGUGAAUGGAUUCAUUGAUGUGCUGUGCGUUAAGCAAUGACAGCUGUCUAUUGAUGGAUUUGCUCUUGAACUUUCCUUUCAUUUUCCUUUCCUUGAAUAUCACCAGGGGGAACCUUCAAAGGCUGGUGGGCCAAAGGCACUCAGUGUUCAGUGAGAACCAUGACCUUCCAGUUCAUCCUGCAUCCCCCUCUGUCAACCGGGUCUGCCAUCUCCAUAGAAGUAACCAAUCCGCUGAACUGUGGGCUCUGUUCUUGGAGCUCUUGCCGUCUGUGCCUCCCACCACCCCUGCCUUCUUCAGAUGAAACACCUGAGGCCAAAGAGAGGCACCUGAGUGGAAGAAGCCCAGCAAAUCGGACCUCGGAGAGGCUGUUUUGGACACCCCACCUUGCCUAGGAGUUUGAGCCUGUGUCCCUCCCAGCUCUGCCGCAUCUCAGCUGCGUGGCUUGGGAUCUUACUUUCUUCAUCUGUACAGCAUUGUUGAGCCACAUGAUCUCCGAGUCCCUUCCAAGUUCCCAAAUCUGUAAUUUCAGUGCAAGCCUGUUUUACAUAUGUUCAUUUUCCGAAGAGUGAGAGUCCUCUGAACUUGAGCAAUGAAAGGCUUUAAAGUCCUGGGAUUAGUGGAAGGGGGAAGGUUUUUCUGCAAGGACAGCUCCUUUCUUUGCAUACCAAUCUGGAAUUCAUUGCUGACUAAGAGCCAGCAUCUGCCUGAUAAGUGGAAUUAUGAUUUCCUUCCUCUUUCUUCCUAAACCACAGUGGGAAAUAAAGUCACCCCAUGGGGAGGAAAGGAGAAAAAUCACUCAAACCACGAGACAAUUUCAGCUAAUAGUAAGAAGUUGUUGCCAAAACAUAAAGGAAGAUGAAAUAAGAUGAAUCUUCGUUUGGUCUUUAUAAUUUUGAUAGCAAUUCUGUGGGAGAAAAAUGUAUGUACAACAUAAAUAGGAGCCAUUCUAUAGUUGAGUCAAAUUCUUUUUUCCCAUGAAGGUUACGAGUGAUUUCACACAUUUAGAUUGUGGUUGGCCACUGUAGUGGAGGGGAGAAAGUGGGCCAGCAAGCUCAGAGAGCAGGUUAUAUUCAGUGAGAGUGAGACAGCACCUUGGAGUAUAAAUUCUUCCUACAGCCGAGAAAACUGAGACCUAGGGAGUUGUCCAAGAUUAUACAAUGUGUGACGCAGCCUACGCAGAGUUCAGGGUUCUGCCCUAGUGCCUGGCUUGGCAAAAAGGCUUACAUGGCUUCCCUGCAGAGAGUCAAAAGAAGUCACAGGAGGUUAAGAAAUUGGUACUUAUUUUUCUAGUGCUAAGAUAAAUG